rnacentral:rRNA from 1 species
UUAAUAUUUUGAUCCUCCUCAGAUUGAACGCUGGCGGCAGGCCUAACACAUGCAAGUCGGACGGUAGCACAGAGAGCUUGCUCUCGGGUGACGAGUGGCGGACGGGUGAGUAAUGUCUGGGGAUCUGCCCGAUAGAGGGGGAUAACCAUUGGAAACGGUGGCUAAUACCGCAUAAUGUCGCAAGACCAAAGAGGGGGACCUUCGGGCCUCUCACUAUCGGAUGAACCCAGAUGGGAUUAGCUAGUAGUGGGGGUAAUGCCCCACCUAGGGGACGAUCCCUAGGGGUUUUGAGAGGAUGUCCAGCCCCACGGGAAUUGAGACACGGCCCAGAUUCCUACGGGAGGCAGCAGUGGGGAAUAUUGCACAAGGGGGGCAACCCUGAUGCAGCCAUGCCGCGUGUAUGAGAGGCCUUCGGGUUGUAAAGUACUUUCAGCGGGGAGGAAGGCGAUGCGGUUAAUAACCGCGUCGAUUGACGUUACCCGCAGAAAAAGCACCGGCUAACUCCGUGCCCGCAGCCGCGGUAAUACCGAGGGUGCAAGCGUUAAUCGGAAUUACUGGGCGUAAAGCGCACGCAGGCGGUCUGUUAAGUCAGAUGUGAAAUCCCCGGGCUUAACCUGGGAACUGCAUUUGAAACUGGCAGGCUUGAGUCUUGUAAAAGGGGGUAGAAUUCCCGGUGUAGCGGUGAAAUGCGUAAAGAUCUGGAAGAAUACCGGUGGCGAAAGGCGCCCCCUGGACCAAGACUGACGCUUAAGUGCCAAAGCGUGGGGAGCAAACAGGAUUAAAUACCCUGGUAGUCCACGCCCUAAACCAUGUCCACUUGGAGGUUGUUCCCUUGAGGAGUGGCUUCCGGAGCUAACGCGUUAAGUCGACCGCCUGGGGAGUACGGCCGCAAGGUUAAAACUCAAAUGAAUUGACGGGGGCCCGCACAAGCGGUGGAGCAUGUGUGUUUAAUUCGAUGCACGCGAAGAACCUUACCUASUCUUGACAUCCAUGGAACUUAGCAGAGAUGCUUUGGUGCCUUCGGGAACGCUGAUACAGGUGCUGCAUGGCUGUCGUCAGCUCGUGUUGUGAAAUGUUGGGUUAAGUCCCGCAACGAGCGCAACCCUUUAUCCUUUGUUGCCAGCGAUUCCGUCGGGAACUCUUAAGGAAACUGCCGGUGAUCAACCUGAAGAAAGGGGGGAUGACCUCCAGUCCUCGGGCCCUUAUCAGUAGGGCUACCCCCGUUGUACCAUGGCUCAGACCAAAAGAAUCCACCUCACGAGAACAAUCCGACCUUACAAAAUGCGUCGUAGUCCCGAAUGGAAUCUGCAACUUCACUCCCUUAAGUCCGGAUCCGUUGUAAUCGUGGAUCAAAAUGCCCCGGUGAAAAACUUCCCGGGCCUUGUACACACCCCCCGUCACAUACAUGGGAAUGGGUUGCAAAAGAAGUAGGUAGCUUAACCUUCGGGAGGGCGCUUACCACUUUGUGAUUCAUGACUGGGGUGAAGUAUAACAAGGGUAGCCGUUACG